CGCUUCGGGGGAUGGCAGCCGAGUCCGGCCAGGAGACUUGACGUUCCUCCCCGCCAUCCGCAGUCGGAAGCCGUCUCCGGACCUGUGAGCCUUGAGGUGGGGGAAGCCGAAGAGUUGAUAAUGUGGACCCACGUCCUCCCGCAGGGGUCGCGGCUCUGAGCUUAGCGGGUCCUGGCUCCACAGCCCCCCGGACCGCGAAUCCGCUUCCAGGAGCGCGCCAGGCACCACGCCGUGCGGUCCCCGGGCGCGAUGCCGCUGACUUUCCAGGACGUGGCAGUGUACUUCUCCCCAGCGGAGGGGCAACAGCUGGGGCCCCAGCAGCGGGCGCUGUACCGGGAUGUGAUGCUGGAGAACUAUGGGAACGUGGCCUCCCUAGGUGAGAACUCCCUCUGGCUUCUGGAGCGGGGGUGGGGCAGGGGGAGGGGGUGCCUCUCUAAGGGGCUCAUGGGCUGCUUUGGCUUUUUGGAUCCCAAGAAGAAGGUCCCGCCCUCAUCCCCGGGUAACAGUCUGAUCUCUGCUGAAAGAACACUGCCCGUGAGAGAGCCUUGCUGCCCGAUUCGAGGGACUUCGCUCCCUUUGCCAGUGGCCCAGUGGUGGUGUUCCUCCCUGCCGCCCCCAGGAGAACAGGGUGAAUUCUUCCUUAAAACAAAACAAAAAACACUUCAGCCCCUGGCUUUCUCUGACCAAGCAUGGCAGCAAGCAGGCACUUCUCACCUGGCUUGGGAGACCUGGUGGGCAGAGGCCGCACAGGCUCACCCAGGUUUUCACCCUCAACAGGAUUCCCUGUCCCUAAGCCAGAGCUGAUCUCCCAGCUGGAGCAAGGCGAGGAGCUGUGGGUCAUGGAUCUUCUGGGGGCUGAAGAAUCAGAGGUCUUGAGAAACUGCCGAACAGGUGAGAAUGGGCAGGAGGCUAACCCUAAGAACCCCCCUCCCAGUUCUACACUCACUGCAGCAGUGAGGGCGGUUGGGUUGUUGUGCUUAGUCCAACCGCUCCAAGAGCAGAUGUAGUCACCACAGACAUGUGGCAUGUGCUCCUUGUUUACAAGGGCUUCCCUUACUGCUCCAUUUGCUUUACUCUAGAAAAUGUAUGCAGUGCCCAGUGCCCGUUGUAUGCGUUUUGUGGCACCUUCAUUCUCUUCUUUACAUAAUACUCUUUCUUGCUGGCUUUCUUUUGACAGUAGCUAUGGGUUGCCUGUCAUGUCCUUUUCUUCUUCACCUUUUCUUUCCUCUAACUCAGUUUGGUCAGUAGUAUUCUCUCUCUUUCCUUCUUGAGACCUGUGUCCUCAUGUGCACAUGCUUUUGCUCUCUCGCUAUCAGUGUAUUGUGGGCUGGUCUUGAAUUUAUGGACUCAAGCUUCCUACUGCUUCGGCUCCUGAGUGAAGUCACAGUUCCUGGGUCAAUAGUAUUUUUUUAUUUUUUUGGUACAGGGGAUUGAACCCAGGGGCACGCAACCACCAAACCGCCUCUCCCCAUCCUAUUUUGUAUUUUAUUUACAGACAGGGUCUCACUGAGUUGCUUAGUGCCUCACUUUUGCUGAGGCUGGCUUUGAACUCACAAUCCUCCUGCCUCAGCCUCCUGAACCACUAGGAUUACAGGCAUGAGCCACCGUGCCCAGCAAUAAUAUUUUUUUAAAUGUGUACUUUUUUCUGUUGGAUCCAGCUUCUCUACUUUUUUCAUCAGCUACUGAGGCUUGUUAUGCUUUCUACCUUUUUCUCCUCCUUCCUCUCUAUUUUUUUUUUUGUUAUUUUAUUGCUCUACACUGUCAGAACAUGUAAUUCCUUUACCCUUUACUAUUACUCCUAGCCCCACCUUUGAUGUUGUUGUUUUUUGCUGUUAAGUAUAUAUUUUUUUUACCUUUUAGUUAAUUGUUGAACCUUUUACCAGAAAUUUCUGCAUCAUUUCUCUGUUGGCUGGAGCUUGUCUUCCAGUUACUCAGAAAGACUCUUGUAAAUAAUAUGCCCCAAAUUUAUGCACAUUGAAGCCUUUUGCUUCUGGCAGUGGGUGCUAAAAUUGUUGACUUGCGAUGCUUCUUUUUGUAGAAAGGUGGAGUUAUAAGACUGAAAGCAUGGCUGUAGUUCCAGUUUGGAAAAUUUUAAUGUUAUAUUUUUGUCAUCAUUUAGUCCAAGAUAUUAUGUUUUGUGAUUUCUUUGACCCAAUGAUUAGUUGGAUGUGUGUUACUUUUCAAAACAAUUGGUACUUUUCUAUUUCUUAUUGUUGUUGACUUGUCAUUUAAUUCUACCAGGGUCAGGGAACCUAUUCUUGUAUAAUUUCAUUCUUCUCGUUUUUGCUUGCUCUUGUUUUAUGACUCUAGGAUCUCUCUCAGUAAGUAUCUGCGUGCAUGUAAAAAGGGUGGGUUCAAUGGGCUGCAGCUGGGGCUCAGUGGAAGAGCACUUACCUAGCACAUUCGAGGUGCUGGGUUCUAUCCUCAGCACCACAUAUAAAAUUAAUUAAUUAAUUAAUUAAUUAAUUAAAGAUUUUUUUUAAAAAAAGGGAUAGGUUCAAGUAGCAAUUAAGUCAAGGUGCUUCAUGGUACCAUUUAGAUAUCCCCCAGCCCUUUGCUCAUUUUAUGUGUAGUUAUUUUAUUUAUGUAUUUAUUUAUUUAUUUUUUGGGGGGGCGGUACUGGGGAUUGAACUCAAGGAUACUCAACCAUUGAGCCACAUCCCCAGCCCUAUUUUGUAUUUUUUAGAGACAGGGUCUCACUGAGUUGCUUAGCACCUCGAUUUUGCUGAGGCUGGCCUUGAACUCUUUAAUAUUUUUUUAGUUGUAUAUGGACACAAUACCUUUAUUUUAUUUUUAUGUGGUGCUGGGAAUCAAACCCAGUGCCUCACUCAUGCUAGGCAACUGCUCUACCACUGAGCUACAAACCUGGCCCUGGCCUUGAACUCUUGAUUCUCCUGCCUUAGCCUCCUGAGCCCCUGGGAUUACAGGCGUACACCACCACACCCAACAGUGUAGUUAUUCUUUAGUUACUAAGAGAAGGUGUUAAAAUACCCACAUGUGAUUGUGGAAUUGUCUUGUCUUUAAUUUUCUCAGUGUCUGGUUCAUGUACUUUGAAGCUGUGUUAUUUGUAUUAUUUUUACUUCUAAUCAUCAUUUUUAGGGAUAAGAGGAUCCCUUAUCAUCUCUGGUAAUAUAUUUGGUUCUGACUAUAUUUCAUCUGAUAUGUCAUAGCAGUUCUAGCCUUAGCCUUAUUCUUUUUUUUUUUUUUUGGUACUGGGGGUUGGACUCAGGCACUCAACCAACCCCCAAGCCACAUCCCCAGUCCUUUUUAAAUUUUUUUUUAAACUUUGUUUUAUUUGUUUAUUUAUUUUUUUAUGUGGUACUGAGGAUUGAACCCAGGACCUUGCACGUGCCAGGCGAGCCCUGUACCACUGAGCCUUUUUAAAAAUUUUUUAUUGUCAUAGAGGGAUAACAUGCCUAUAUUUUUAUUUUUUUAGUACAGUGCCUCACCUGUGCUAGGUAGGCAGUCUACCACUAAGCUAUAGCCCCAGCCCCUUAUCUUUUAAUUGUAGUGCUUAAUCUAUUAAUAUUUAAUGUCUCGUUGUGUGUGUGUGUGUGUGUGUGUGUGUGAGAGAGAGAGAGAGAGAGAUAAUGGGGAUGGAACCCAGGGCCUUAUGUGUGACAAGCAAGCACUCUACCACUGAACCACAUCUCCAGCCCUUUUUUUUUUUUUUUUUAAUUUGAAACAGGGUCCUUUUUUAUUUCUCUUUUUUGCCUUUCAUGUACUAAUUCAUUAUAAAUCUCAACCAUCCCUUCCCUCCUUUAUGGUAAAGUUAUAUGUAAUAUAUCUGUGUACAUUUGAGACAAUAUUAUAAUUUUCUUUUUAAAUCGUCAUAGAUGAUUAACAGCAGAGUUAUGUCCUGAUGAACCCAUCAUAAGUUGGAAAUCACUUAGUGCAUCUAACCUACCAAACAUGCCAGCUUAGCAGCACAGCACACUGGAGAGUACAGUUGUUGCCCUGUGAUCUUGUGGCUGCCUGGGAGUUGUGACUUCUGCCACUGCCCAGCAUUGCAAGAGAGAUCAUAGUGCCCAAGAAAAGAUUAAAAAUUCAAAAUAAUAUAGUUUCUAUUGAAUAUAUAUCACUUUGUGCUGUCAUAAGAUUGAAAAAGUCUUAUGCAAAACCCUGGGAAGUUAGUGCUGUACUUUGAAUCUGCAUUAUCCCUCAAAGGUCAACGUGUAAAAGGCUAAACUGAGGAGCCAUUGGGAAGUUGGGCUUGGGGGAAGAAGCAAGGUCAGUGGGAGAAUGCCACUGGAGAGUCUCUGGGACCCACGCCAUCCUAUCUGUUUUGUGCCUGGCCGCCAUGGAGUAAACAGGCUGCCAUGCUAGGCUCCUGCCACAAUGCGUACUGCUGCCACAGGCCCAGAGCACAAGCCAAGUGACUAUGGGCUAAGACUUCUGAAACUGUGGCCAGAAUAAGUGUCUCCUCCAUUUACCUAUCUAAGGUAUUUCAUCACAGUAAUGAAAACCUAACAGUUGAGGAACCAUUUAUAUGUAGUUUAUGAAAAAAUAAAAGAAAAAAAAUAGACUUUUUGCUGUCUCGACAUGUAAGGAGCUUAGAAGUUGCUGCGGGAUUCUAACAAGUAAAGAACUGAACAAACUGGAAAAUCAGUGACUCUUGGAUCAAUCAGAGUUGAGGUCCCAGGGCAAACCACUGCACCCAAAUUGGAUAGGCAACACAGUCAUGAUUUGUGAACAGGAACCUCCAGGGGAAAUGGUGCAGGUAGGAAACCUGAAGAGAAAUGGACAAAUUGACAAAAGCUCAGUGUGGACAAGUCUGAGCUAUAAAAAUGACAGGAGACCUGUCAUGGAGGCUCAUAAACAUUUGAGGGUUUUUUGUUUUUUGUUUUACCGCCAGAAAUGUGAUGAAUCCCACAGUGAACAUUGGGGGAAAUCUCCUUAUGCUUCUGGCAGGGGAAAGGGAAAAGAAACUUCUGAAAUAUGUCAGAGCACUAUUCCUCACGAAGCUGUUCUCUAGAUAGAUGGCCUUGCCAGAGCCUGCCUGACCUGAGCAAGGAAGCUCCCAGCCCAGCACUCUGUUCUCCCUGACCUUGUGAGGGCCCUGGAGCACAGGCUUAUGGUGCUGCAUGCCUCAUUGCACAGCCAACAUGGCAGCACUGAGGCAUGGGUGCCGCAGCUCCCUUACCCAGCUUGUCACAUCUGCCUUUUAACAAAGACCUGUAAGACACUGAAAGAAAAAUGCAGUGUGGAGAGACUGAACAAACAUUAGAAUGAGAGUCAUAACUGGCAAGAGUGUUGGAAUUACCAGAUCAGGGAUUUUUUUUAAAACUAAUAUGACUAAGGCUUUAGUGGAAAAUGUAUGAUGUACAGAAACAGAUAUAUAAUAUAGGCAGAGAGAUUGAAAUUCUAAAAUAGAAUAAAAAAUGCUAGAAAUGAAAAACACUAUAAUAGUAGUAAUGACAGAUGCCUUUGAUGACUCACUAAUAGACUGGUCAGGGUUUUGAGUAUAAUGUUAUUUGAAGGCACACUUGGAUUAGUUGUAAGUGUAGAUAGAAAACCAAUUAAAAACAAAAGUACAAGACAAGUAUAAUGAAUAUGGCGACAAGGAGACAAAGUGGAGUAAUAGAAAAUACUCAAAACCACAAAAUAAGUAGCCCAGUGAUAGAGCAUUUGUAUAACAUGUGUAAGACCUUAGGUUUGAUCCCCAGCAGUGAAGAAACCAUUUUUAAACCAGAAAAUGCAGAAAAAAGUAUAGAAGAUAAACAGGGACAAAG
rnacentral:lncRNA from 1 species